CCUUUUGCGCACGCGCGGGCGCGCGCCUGGUGGCCCGGGGCCCGACCGGAGCGCGCGCCCCGCUGGGGGAUGGAGAGCGCUGCUCAGCGGGUUGCGGGGACGCGGCGGGGCUGCUGGGUUGGGCCGCCCGGUCCCCGCUUCCACUUGGGGAUGCUGCAGCUUGCAGCUUCGCUCCCCCUCACCCACUCGCGUCGUUUAGAAGUCCGGCUGCAACUCUGCUUGCAAAAUUCAGGUUUUCUCGCUUCUGCAGCAGUUUACUGGGGAGAACGUCAGGCCUCUCCUCGCUCGGUUUUGUCCGUCAGGUCCGGAGGGGUCGAGUGGGCGCCGGGAGGGAGGGAAAGAGGGCUGAGGCCCGGGAUGCUCCUCGCAGCUCCGGUUUCCCUGGGGACUUCUCCUAAACCAGCCCUCCAGGGCUUGCUUGAUUUUCUUUUUUAUUUAUUUUUAACUUCUGAAGCCGUCUUCUUCCCUUCUUCCAGCUGUUUCUUGGCUGUUUGCUGUUUUCACCAAUGACAGCCUCAGCCUUGUGUUCGUUUCCCUGAGUGGAGGGACGGAGCCGUGUCCCUGAUAAGAACAGACUAAAUCGUUCUCUGCCCCAGUCCCUCCUCACAGGGACCCUGUUUAGCGUUGGCCAUGCUGGGGGGGUGAGGAGGAGACCCCCACGUCCCCACCCACCUGCAGAGGGCUCACCAGAGCGCCUGCUGCUUCUCAAACAGCUGUUGGGCCCUCCUGUGAGCCGGGCCUGGGCGUGCGCGCCGGGUUGCUAAGCUGAGAUGGCCAAGAAGAGGUGGUUAGGGUACUUCAUCCCUUCCUCCCCUCAUCUCCUGCCUGCCUCAAAUCCCUUCUGACACCUUGCACCCUCCUUCCCAGUACUUGUGACAUGCUUCAGUUUUCCCAUGUUUUUGGGAGUCACCCACCUCUGUCCUGGAAUGAAAGCUCUGAGAAGGCAGGGACCACGUCUGCUUUGCUCACUGCGAGCAGGUCGCAUGGUGCCUGACUCCGGGCGGGGACUCAGAUGGUCUUCGCCGGCUGCUGGAGCUGAGGGAGUGUGGUUUCUUCAGGUUAACUUUGCCCCACCGGGGUUCAAAGGUCUCUUUCAGUCUAAAGAAAACCUGCUUGCUUCUGGAAAGUGCCAGUGGGAAAUUUCAGAAUGGAGCAGGGUGUGCCCGGCAGCCUUCUGGAUCAGAGAGGUUUUGCCUGUGUUCAGAGGUGAAGGUGUUUCCCACACAGCUGAAGAGCGUCAAGCAGGCUUGACCCUGUGGCCCAGGCUGACCCUGUGGCCCAGGCUGACCCCUGCGCUCUCCUUGGUGUCGUCAGCCUGAGGAGCUGGAACAGCUCUGGCCCCGGGUCAGUGCGCUUGAGCGAAUGAGGGCGAGCCAUCAGCAUCUGCGUAGUUCCUGAGGCCGAGCGCAAGGCAGCACAGCUCUGCCCGGCCUGGUGAGGGGCGACCCAGCCCGAUGGCACAGCCCGUGCCGCCGAAACGCAGGACACGUGAAACAUAUUCAGUCUGAGCAAGAUGCAGGCUGCUCUGUGGAGACUCUGCCACCAGCCCCCUCUUGAGACGGAGGUUGAGGAGGGCAACUGGGUAGAUGUGUGCCUCACCUGGACAGAAAAUGGGAGAUAAGCAGGUAACAGGUAUGGCGUAUUAACCAGGUGCCAGCAUGCCGCUAAGCUUGUCGCCUGAAUUCCCUGGUUAAGUUCUCCCACGACCCCGGGCUGGGUGCUGGUCCUAUCAUCGUUUCAAGGUGAAGGAACCGAGGCCCAUAUGGGUUGAGUGGGUUGCCCAUAAUCAUUCAAUUAACCGUCUCUCCUGCACGUCCCAUUUCACGGGGCUUGCGGUGAGGCCCCUAAACCUGCCUUUAUAAAGAGCACCUGUGGCUGCUUUUGGCCUGAGGCAGGUUGGGAAACGCCGCACUUUCUGGAAAAGUGUGGACUCAUUUUGGAAGGCGAUUCUGCUGUUCUGAGGGCUGUCCCCCACUUGCCUGCUGCAGCCCCUCAGAAGCCCUGGGGCCACUCCUGCCCCUCAGACAGGCUCCCCUCGGGCGGCCCGCAUCGCCUGGACGCUCCGGUGGAAAGCGAGCGGGUGGCAUGUGCUGGGCGUUGGUCGCAGUUCAUUUUCCUCCCUUGCAGAAGCCCCGUUUGUCUCCCACCGCGUCUGUUUGUGCUGGUUCUUAAGUUCUGAUAAUUGUGUCUUUUAUCCCUUUCCCUUCCCUCCUGUCCCACUUCUUUGCCUUUUAAAAUAUUUGAAGACUUUUUCCAUGGCUGUUAAAACCAGAAGGUACAGAUUCCAGUAGAUUUUUACAUAAAAGAAAUGAUUAUAUCUCGACAGCUGGAAUCAAACAGAGUGAAGCAAAAAGUCAACAAAUAUGUAUUUGUUUUUUGUACUUAUUGCUCAGAGCACAGCUGGGGAAUUUAAGUGGCAGAAAGCACACACGUCUCCUAUUUAAUAUCAGGCAGCUGUCAUCGCCCCAUGGAUAUAGCGUUCACAGGUUAUGGUUCCUCUGGCACUUGAGCACACACACCCUACGCCCCUACACAGAGGUGUCAGGGCUUCUCAAUCAUCUCCUGUGCUACGGUGAUUACAUUUUCCAAACAACGAGCACAAUUUCUCCCUUAAGGAAACUUGUUAUCGAAAGAUCCGAGGGAUCGGAAUGUGUAAUACAAAACAGACACGCAGAGAAGACUGAGUUUUAUGGCUCCAGAGAAGAGAAAGAAUGACUUUAUUGACUAUAAAAUAAAAUCUGCAUGCUACAAGUUGGCUUGGACCCACCUCGUGUAUCUUUUUUUCAAAUAGACCUGAGAUUAAAACCCAGCCAGCCCCUUCGUAGCUGUGGGACUUCAGUCAUAAGUCACUUAGAACUCUUUUCUUUGAACUUCUGUCUCCUGGGAAAAAGGGCUGAUGGCUCACAGGGAAGUCGUGAGAAACAGGAGGACACACUGCUGGCGUGUUGGUGUGUUUUCGGUCGUAUGCAGGAUAGUUGUAUCAUGUUCAGCAGAAUUAAGACCUAGUCCUCGUCUCUAUUAGGAGAUUAAAUGUGGUUUAAGGAGAUGCGUGUGGGUGUCGGGUUGGCAAGGGGUGGACUUGUGAUGGUUAAUUUUACGUAUCAGUUUGAUGGACUAAGAGAUGCCCAGAGAGCUGGUAAAACGUGAUUCCUGGGAGUGUCUGUGAGGCUGUUUCUGGAAGAGAUUAGCAUUUGAGUCGGUAGACUGAGUAAAGGAGAUGGCCCUCCCCAACGCAAGUGGGCAUCGCCCAAUCUGUUGAGGGCCCGGAAGGAACAGUAAGGCGGAAGAAGGUCAAAUUUGCCCUCUGCUUGAGCCGGGACGUCCAUCUUCUCCUGUCCUCGGACGGCGGUGCUCCUGGUUCUCAGGCCUUCGGACUCAGAUUAGGAUUUAUACCAUCGGCUUUCGUGGUUCGUCCAGUUUACAGAGGGCAGAUCGCGGGGCUUCUCAGUCUCCGUUAUUGCGUGAGUCAAUUCUAUAAUAAAUCUCCUCUUAUAUAAAUAUCCAUAUGUCUUAUUGCUUCUGUUUCUCUGGAGAACUCUGACUAAAGCAUUACAUAAUUUAUUUUCCCUCCUGUUCUUGCUAAACGGGACCCCGUGAAACCUGGGCACUCCCGGCCUCCUUGCCUUUGCUGGUGGGAUUCCUUCUUCCCGGAGUGCCCCUUGAAUCCUUCUGCGCCCUAAACCAACCUGGCAAAUUCUGCUCCAACGCUGGCUCUCCCAAAACGCCUUCCCAGAUGCCACCAGUCAGAAGUAACUUCUCCAGGCUCGUCUCAUCCAGCGUGCUCGUACUGUGCGACAGCACUUCUCACAAGGCCCCUCAGUGUUGCUGCCUCCCAGCCCUCCCGCGGGCGGCACCGCCUCCGUCAGCUUGCUCAAGCCUGAAGCCAAGUGUUGCUCCAGAGGCCUCGCUCUUUGUCACCCUCCCAAGUCGUCCAUGUUUGCCCGUCUCCAGUCCGCUCUUCAAGAGAUCUUUCUCAGAUGCAAACCUGCAUUGCCACUGUGAUGCCAGAAGCCUUUGGUGGCUCCCCUUAGGGAGCCCUUGAGGUUGAAGAUGAAAACUUCUCAGUCACAACACCUUGAAUGAUGUGGCCGCGUCUGUCUCUGCAGCUUCAUCUUUUUGUUUUGUUUGAGAUAUAAUUCCAAUACCAUAAAAUUCACCCUUUUAAAGUGUACCAUUCAGUGGGUUUUUAAUAUAUGAACAGAAUUGUACGACUAUCACCACUAUUUCAUUCCGGAGUAUUUUCAUCACCCGCAAAGAGUCCCCAUAACCCUCGGCAGUCACUCUCCACGGCCCCACCCCACCCCCUCCACGGCCCCUGGCGACCGCAAAUUACUUUCUGGUUCUAUGGAUUUGCCUAUUUUGGACAUUUCACAUAAGUGGAAUCGUGCAAUAUGUGGCCUUUUGUGGCUGGCUUCUUUCACUUAGCGUAACGUUUUCAAGGUUCAUCCAUGUUGUACUGUGCAUCCAUAUUUCGUUCCUUUUUGUGGCUGAAUAAUAUUCUCUGUAUGGAUAGACCACGUUUGUUCACGCACUCAGCACAUGACGGGCAUCUUGGUUGGUUCUCCUUUUGGGCUUUCAUGGACCAUGUUGCUGUGAACAUUUGCGUUCAAGUUUUUGUGUGAACUCGGGUUUUCAUCUCUCUUGGGUAGAUGCCUGGGAGGAGAAGUGCUGGUUCAGGGAUGCUCCAGGUGUGACCUUUGAGGAGCUGCCAGACUGUUUUCUGCAGCCACUGUCCCGCGUUCCAUGCCCUCCAGUGGUGCAGGACUGUCUCGUUUCCCCACGUCCUCCUCUGGCCUCAUCUCGGACCUCACUGCCCCAGCUUCCCGGCUCUGACCCCACCUCCUGUUCGUCCUGACAGCAGCCCGAUUCCCUGGUCCCACAGCAAAAGGACGGUCUUGAAGAUGCCUGUGAUUCUAACCCUGUUAGACCCAGUGCCUCUGUGUCUACCCUGAAGUGAAAUUCAUAAAUAAGAUAACCCACCUACUCAUAUAGUGAAAACACGUGUAUGUAAUUCUCAAGCCAUAAAAUAAAGGAGGAUAAGUGGAAAGUAAUUUAUAAUAAAAUCGUAUGUAUUAUGUCGCUGGAAAUCCUAAUGAAGUAGCCAGGUGUUGAAUAAAACAGGUGGAAGCCCUGGGAAGGUGACAGCUGCAAAGGCAGGCAGAUCCAGGUGUGGGGCGUCGGCCGCUCAGGCGCCACAAGCAUGUUGAGCGGAACUGCUGCCAGGGCGGUCGGUCCAGAAUGUUGACCGGUGUAAAUUCCCGAGCAGAGUAAGAUCAGUUUUCUCUCGACUGACAUGGUCAUGGCAUUCUGGGAAAAUUCAGUUUGUAUUAAAACCAUGCAAACGCUCUGUGUUUAUGUGUAAAAUGGAGUUGGGUUCUGGAUUAACCAGACUUCUCCUGGGGAGGACCACUGCCACAUGCUCUCCCCUCGGCCUGGAACAUUCUUCAGCUCCCCGUGCACCAGGCCCUUCACCUGGCCUUUCUGUUCGCAACUUGAAGGCACUUCCUCCAGGAGGCCUUCCUGGCUUCUUGCACAGAAAAUGCUCUUUGAGACCACCCAUGUGCCGCGUCACGGCAUUUAAUACCAAUCACAAUCCUGUGUUUCGUGGUUUCUUUUUAUUCAUGCCCUCGUCCCCACUGGACACAGACCUCGUGAGAUCUGGAUUUGUGACUUUCCUGUCAUCAUAGUCCCCGCCCUUAACCUAGAGCCUGGUGCUCAGAUCUUCGCUGAGUGAAUUGUAUAAUAGUGUUUUUGUCCGCCCCCCUGUUGUCCUGGGAGUUCUCAGAGGACAGGGUUCUGCCAAAUUUAUCUGCAUCUCCAGUGCAAAAGAUAGUUCUUCCUUUUAUGUGAAAAACAGUGGUCAAAUAUUUAAUGAGAGAAUAGAAGCAAAAUCACUAUUGGGCUCCUAGUGUCCUGAUCAAUGAGCUAAGGACACAGUGAGAGCCGAGUGUCAGUAAACCCUCCAGAAACUGCUCUGCCAGAGGGACGGGUCACACUGGGGUUCUCCUUACGGCGGUGGGUUCAGUAGAAAACCGUCAUCUUAACUGUGUUAACAAUUAUUUCAGCUCUAGCUGCUGUGUAGCAAACCUCCCCACAACUUCAUGGCUUAGACGACAACGAGAUGGUUGUUUCUCGAGAUUCCAGGUUGGCCGUCUGGGUGGUUGUGCUGCUGGCCUUCUCGGGCUCACUUCUACAGUCAUCCGAUGACUCGACCAGGCUGGAGGGUCCUGGUGGCCGCAGUCACAGGCCCGGCAGUGGUCUGGCUGUCAGCUGAGUACCGUGGUUCCCUUCCACAUGGACUUCCGUCUUCUAGGAGGCCAGCCCAGGCCUCUGCACCAUUUGUGGUCUUGAGGUUCCAAGAAAGUGAAAGCCAAGACAGAAAGUGCCAGGUGAAGGCCUGGUUCAAGAGCUGACGGACCAUCGCUUCUGCCUCGUUCUGUUGGCGAAAGCAAGUGCCGGGCUCCGGCGGGGGACCGCAUCUCCACCUCUGGUGGGAGGAGCAGGAUCGGGACACUGCACAGGACAGUGGGGCCCAGGAGGCACAUCCACGGGCACAUGCACAUUCCAGUGAUGGAAUUAUAAUAAUAAUUCCUCAUUAUAGUCACGCUCCCCAGCAAUCUCCCUCGAGUGUUCUCUCGGGUUCCUUGUUCUGGAAUCCAGCGGGAGUGCUGGGUCUUUCUUAUUGAUGGAGAGUCCUCUGGGUCCCUGAGUCUCCCCUCCGGCCUUGGCUUCUCCUUGCCUGUGCCUGAAGAUGGAGGUGGAGCCAGUGGAGGAGAUCAGGUUGAAUAUGUUCUUUUCCAGAUUUUGUUCGGUUUGAUUUGGGGGUGGGAUCUCACUUUUGCUUUGGUGAAGUCACGAUUCCAUUUUAUUUUCUCGCCAUUUGCUUUGCUUCUCUUCCAACUCAACUGCAAUAAAACGUCGAGUUAAUGGAGCCUUCCAGCUGGUUGUUCUGUAGAUUUUACUGCCAAAGCACCUAAGGGUUGAGAGUGUUGAUUCCAGAGCAAGACUUCUUGAGUUAGAAUCCUGACUCCGUCAAUUACUUGCUGUGG